rnacentral:rRNA from 1 species
AUUGAACGCUAGCGGCAGGCCUAACACAUGCAAGUCGAGCGAGCGGCGGACGGGUGCGUAAUGUAUGGGGACUGCCCGAUAGAGGGGGAUAACUACUGGAAACGGUAGCUAAUACCGCAUACUAUCGGAUAACCCAUAUGGGAUUAGCUAGUAGGUGAGGUAAUGGCUCACCUAGUCGACGAUCCCUAGCUGGUCUGAGAGGCUGAUCAGCCACACUGUGACUGAGACACGGCCCAGACUCCAAGGGAGGAAGCAGUGGGGAAUAUUGCACAAUGGGCGCAAGCCGGAUGCAGCCAUGCCGCGUGUAUGAAGAAGGCCCUAGGGUUGUAAAGUACUUUCAGGCGGGAGGAGUUACCGACAGAAGAAGCACAGGCGAACUCCGUGCCAGCAGCCGCGGUAAUUC